CAUCCUAAGGUAGCGAAAUUCCUUGUCGGGUAAGUUCCGACCUGCACGAAUGGAGUAACGACUUUCCCACUGUCUCAACCGUGGACUCGGCGAAAUUGCACUACGAGUAAAGAUGCUCGUUACGCGCAGCAGGACGGAAAGACCCCGGGACCUUUACUAUAGCUUGGUAUUGGUGUUCGGUACGGCUUGUGUAGGAUAGGUGGGAGACUGUGAAGCGGGCACGCCAGUGUCCGUGGAGUCAUCGUUGAAAUACCACUCUGGUCGUUCUGGAUGUCUAACCUCGGUCCGUGAUCCGGAUCAGGGACAGUGCCUGGUGGGUAGUUUAACUGGGGCGGUUGCCUCCUAAAAGGUAACGGAGGUGCCCAAAGGUUCCCUCAGCCUGGUUGGCAAUCAGGUGUCGAGUGUAA
rnacentral:rRNA from 11 species